rnacentral:rRNA from 1 species
UGGGGAAUAUUGGACAAUGGGCGCAAGCCUGAUCCAGCCAUGCCGCGUGAGUGAAGAAGGCCUUAGGGUUGUAAAGCUCUUUCGGCGGGGAAGAUAAUGACGGUACCCGCAGAAGAAGCCUCGGCUAACUCCGUGCCAGCAGCCGCGGUAAGACGGAGGAGGCUAGCGUUGUUCGGAAUUACUGGGCGUAAAGCGCACGCAGGCGGCGGGUCAAGUCGGAUGUGAAAGCCCGGGGCUUAACCCCGGAUGGGCGUCCGGGACUGACUUGCUAGAGUUAGGGAGAGGAGAGCGGAAUUCCCAGUGUAGAGGUGAAAUUCGUAGAUAUUGGGAAGAACACCGGUGGCGAAGGCGGCUCUCUGGCCCUUGACUGACGCUCAUGUGCGAAAGCGUGGGGAGCAAACAGG